rnacentral:rRNA from 1 species
GACAGAGGCUCCAAGCGUUAUGCGGAAUCACUGGGCUUAAAGCGUGUGUAGGUGGAUUUGUAAGUACCUUGUGAAAUCCCAUGGCUCAACCAUGGAACUGCUCGGUAUACUGCGAAUCUUGAGCCACUUAGGGGCUACCGGAACAAAUGGUGGAGCGGUGAAAUGCGUAGAUAUCAUUUGGAACGCCAAUGGUGAAAACAGGUAGCUGGGAGUGUGCUGACACUGAGACACGAAAGCCAGGGGAGCGAACGGG